GGUGUGGCUCAGUUGGUAGAGCGCUUGGUUUGGGACCAAGAUGCCGCAGGUUCGACUCCUGUCAC
rnacentral:tRNA from 1 species